rnacentral:rRNA from 1 species
UACGAAGGGGGCUAGCGUUGCUCGGAAUUACUGGGCGUAAAGGGCGCGUAGGCGGCACUGUUAGUCAGGCGUGAAAGUCCUGGGCUCAACCUGGGAACUGCGCUUGAUACGGCAGAGCUAGAGGAUGGAAGAGGCUCGCGGAAUUCCCAGUGUAGAGGUGAAAUUCGUAGAUAUUGGGAAGAACACCGGUGGCGAAGGCGGGUCACUGGGCCAUUACUGACGCUGAGGCGCGAAC